rnacentral:lncRNA from 1 species
UUUGAUUAGGAUUUAGGAUUUUAUUAAGAUUUGAUCUAAGAUUUAGAUUUAAAAUUUGAUUAAGAUUUAUUUAGGAUUUAAUUAAGAUUUGAUUAAGAUUUAAGAUUUCAUUAGAACUUGAUUUAAGAUUAGGAUUUAGGAUUUGAUUAGGAAUUAAAAAAUAUUUCAUUAGGAUUUGGUUUAAAAUUUGUUUGGAUUGAUUCAAGAUUUUAUUAGGAUUUUUUGAAGGUUAUAUUAGGAUUUGAUUAAGAUUUAAU